rnacentral:rRNA from 1 species
UGAACGCUGGCUACAGGCUUAACACAUGCACGUCGAGGGGAAACGACGGGGAAGCUUGCUUCCCCGGGCGUCGACCGGCGCACGGGUGAGUAACGCGUAUCCAACCUGCCUCUGACUGAGGGAUAACCCGUCGAAAGUCGGCCUAAUACCUCAUGGCAUCGUCUGCGGGCAUCCAACGACGAUUAAAGAUUUCAUCGGUCAGAGAUGGGGAUGCGUCUGAUUAGCUUGUUGGCGGGGUAACGGCCCACCAAGGCGACGAUCAGUAGGGGUUCUGAGAGGAAGGUCCCCCACAUUGGAACUGAGACACGGUCCAAACUCCUACGGGAGGCAGCAGUGAGGAAUAUUGGUCAAUGGGCGAGAGCCUGAACCAGCCAAGUAGCGUGCAGGAUGACGGCCCUAUGGGUUGUAAACUGCUUUUAUGCGGGGAUAAAGUGAGGGACGUGUCCUUCAUUGCAGGUACCGCAUGAAUAAGGACCGGCUAAUUCCGUG